rnacentral:rRNA from 1 species
CUGGUUGAUCCUGCCAGUAGUCAUACGCUCGUCUCAAAGAUUAAGCCAUGCAUGUCUAAGUAAAAAUAACUCUUUACUGUGAAACUGCGAACGGCUCAUUAUAUCAGUUAUAGUUUACUUGAUAGUACCUUACUACUUGGAUACCCGUAGUAAUUCUAGAGCUAAUACAUGCAUCAACGCCCAAUCGGGCCGCGUUUAUUAGAUAGAAACCCAUAUUUUUGGUGAAUCAUAAUAACUGUGCGAAUCGCAUGGGUUUACCCCGGCGAUGAAUCAGUCAAGUUUCUGCCCUAUCAGCUUUCGAUGGUAGGGUAUUGGCCUACCAUGGCGUUAACGGGUAACGGAGAAUUAGGGUUCGAUUCCGGAGAGGGAGCCUGAGAAACGGCUACCACAUCCAAGGAAGGCAGCAGGCGCGUAAAUUACCCAAUCCUGACUCAGGGAGGUAGUGACGAGAAAUAGAAAUGCAGAGCCAAUUUGGUUUUGCUAUUUCAAUGAGAGAAAUCUAAAAACCUCAACGAGGAUCAACUGGAGGGCAAGUCUGG